rnacentral:rRNA from 1 species
GACGAACGCUGGCGGCGUGCUUAACACAUGCAAGUCGAACGGAAAGGCCCUGCUUUUGUGGGGUGCUCGAGUGGCGAACGGGUGAGUAACACGUGAGUAACCUGCCCUGGACUUUGGGAUAACUUCAGGAAACUGGGGCUAAUACCGGAUAGGAGCUCCUGCUGCAUGGUGGGGGUUGGAAAGUUUCGGCGGUUGGGGAUGGACUCGCGGCUUAUCAGCUUGUUGGUGGGGUAGUGGCUUACCAAGGCUUUGACGGGUAGCCGGCCUGAGAGGGUGACCGGCCACAUUGGGACUGAGAUACGGCCCAGACUCCUACGGGAGGCAGCAGUGGGGAAUAGUGCACAAUGGGCGGAAGCCUGAUGCAGCAACGCCGCGUGCGGGAUGACGGCCUUCGGGUUGUAAACCGCUUUCGCCUGUGACGAAGCGUGAGUGACGGUAAUGGGUAAAGAAGCACCGGCUAACUACGUG